CACACGGCAAAGGGUCAUGUGAAAAAGCAAAAGAGCCUACUGGUCUCUGGGAAAGCAAAUUUCAGAACAGUAGAGGACAGAGCCGUUGUUUCAGCAGAGCGUUCUGUCAUGAGACUCUAGAACACAGCCUAGCCCAGCGCCAGAGCCAGAGAUAUCAGUCCUAGAGAAAUGGCUAAUGUGUGGAUGGCUCUUCAAAUGGCAUUGUCUGGAAGGUGCAUCUAGGAACAGGUGAGAUCGGGGGAUGUGGGAUGGCAACAUUGUACAAUCUUACAUGUCAUAAUCCCAUAUCUUUUCAAUGGAGACAAGCUCACAGGAAAGGGGAGGUGGAGAUGAACUUAGAGCCCAUGUACAUUUUCAGGUAUUGACGGGAUAGGGCAGGAAAGCUGAUCUUACAGAAAAGACGUCAGACAGUGCCAGUUUCCCUAAGCUUAAAGCAAAUCUUUUUCCAUAGAGAGAAAGCCUGUCAAUUCUGAACAAUAUUUUCACAUAUGUUAACAUGAUGACUUAUACAACUCUUCCCCAUUGACUUAAUGUAGGUAAUAAUUAGCAGGAGAUGAGAAUGGCUGAAGCACCUAGGAAUGUCACUUACUUACACGUGUUCAUCUGUUCAGUUCCCAUGUGCGCGUAUACAACACUGGGAAACUCUAUGGUGGAUGGUGGAAAACCACGCUCCAAGGACUGACAGUCACGAUUUUCAUGCAAUGGCUCUGAAAAGCUUGGAAAGGACCAAGAGUCUCCAAGGAACACAGGAACUGGAACUAGUAGGAGCUGAAAACUCUUAGCACCUCAGGUCUGAGAGGGUCAGAGGGGAGUAUGGGGUCAUUAGAAGCAAGUGCCAUCCUUAGCCACAACACAGAGGCUACUUACACUGUAGCCAAAAAUAAUGAAGUCCUUAUAAAACCCUUGGAGUACAGGAGGGGAUAAGGCUUAGCCACUUCUACCCUAUUCCUCCUGCCUUUGGACCUCCUGCCAGGGUUUCCUGAUCCAAGGAUUCAAGGUUCUGGGUUUUUGUCAACUUCAUGGCAGCAUGAAAGAUGACAGGGGAAGUAGGCAAAACAAACAAACAAACAAAAAAACCUUGAAUAAUCACUAUCUAUAUUUUGGAGGUGUUGAAAUGGCAGCCUGGAGAGGCUAGAUUACAUGUCCCAAACCAUACAACUAACACUACAAAGCCAGGGCUCAAACUUGUCCAGUGGAUUAGCAGCAUGACACAUGACAAUAAAUUCUCUGCUACCCAAUGGUCAUUGUGUGGAGCACUGCAAUUAGGGAAAGCCAGCCUGAACAAACAAACCUGAAUUUUACAAACAGAACUUGUUAGAAAUGCAUGUCCUUGGAUCGCCUUCACAAUGAAGACUAAUUAGGACCAGACUUGCAAAGCAUUGCCCCGGGGAAUUGGUUUUGAGAAAGGAAAUGGGGGGAAGGGGGAGGGUUAGCUGCAUUAAUUUCAGAGCAAUAAGCUCUUCUGAGACAAGGCCCAGAGAUGCGAAAGCUUACUUUCUUAAACAAUGUUCACGUUCUUCUCAAGUUUGUAUUCCUUAUAGCUUUGUUUAAGUCCGUGUUAGUCAGCAGCUCUACACUGAGCCCCUCCAAUAAGGCCAGUGUUGUUUGAGGUGAUGGGCUGGAGACACAGCUGUGUACUAGGAUCCUUGUAUCAGGAGGCAGAUGAAAACAAUGGAUAAAUCCACAAGAGUGCUAUAGUAUUUGAGAAAGAAGUACUGAAAAGUGAGGAGCAGAAAAGCUACAGGAGAGGGCCGGAGACAUUAUCUUAUACAGAAUUGUCAAGAAAACAGUCUCUAACAGAGAAGCAUUUUGAGCACAUGACUGAAGGAGACAUUUAUUCCAUGGAUAACACAAAAAUGAACUUCAACCCAGUUCAUGGAAGAGACUUUUACCUGGAAGGGACCCACAGCGGAACUGCAUUCUAUAAUGAAGUGAGCUCCAGGAAGUCGUCUUUUAUUCAGAGUCAUAUCAUGAAUGUUAUCAUCCCUAAAGCUUGAUUGAAAAUGUUUGAAGUUUGGGCAAAAUAAGAAGAAUUUGUUGGGCAAAAGAAGAACUUGGGCAUGAAGGGUCUAGAAUACUCAAAAUCAAAUCCGAGUCCAAAGUUGGCGUCUCCAGAGAGAACAAGAGGUGACACAAGACAUCAUACCAGGCACAGGGAAGCUGGUGUUUCCUGCUAGCAGCCCUCCCUCACCCAUGGCUUAAUCCUACUGGAAUUCAGUGUAAGGAAGGAGAGCUGCAGCCGUCCAUAACAGCCAGCUACCCAUGAUGCAAAGCAGAGCACAGAAGGGCAGAGAAUGGAUCUGGAGAACAGAGACUACUGGAUAAUGGUGGCUAUCCACAGAGUGAUCAUCUGUGAAGUUUUCAGAGCAAAGUGAAAACACGGUUGGUAAGCAUUGGAAGUUUGUUAGUAAUAUGCCGCCUGUAGUUCUCUGAGACUCUUUGUAUCUGGGUUGCCACAGCAUUGUCAUGUCCCUUCUGUGUGAUUUUCCUUAGAGAAUCAUGCUGAGAAGGACAGAGGCCUGAAUCCCAUCCCCGGACCACUGUUCGUGAGUGACAGUGGCCCCUACAAUAGGGUAUUUGUUGGAUCUAGAGUUGAACCAUUAUAUGUGUAGUAUCCUGAGUCUAGGAGACAAUAACAGCUGGGUCUGGCCUGGCUUAUUUGUUCAGUUUGUGUAGGGAAAAGGGUCCAGCCAAAGAAACACACCUGGAGCAGAGCCAAAGAAACACACUU